UCAGAAAAUUUGUGAUUUGGUGUGUAGAAACACUCUUGAUUUUUGUAUAUGGAUUUUUUUAUUCUGCAAUUUUACUAGAUUUCUAGAACACACAAGAGUUUACUCUCUAUAAAUAACUCUAAGAGAAAUACAUGAAGGAAACACUUCUGAAACGUCUCAUUUCCUAGUUGACAUUAACGUUCUCACAGUGAAGAGUUCCCCUGGCCUAGAGUCAAUGUGGCAAAGCCUUCUUCUGGAGCUCACAUCAGAAAACUCAGUGAUCCCGCGUUAAGCAAGGGACAUGCAUUCCAAGACCCCCAGUGGAUGCCUGAAACCUCAUAUAAUAUUGAGCCCUACAGGGUCUCCUUAUGUUGACCAGGGAGAUCUCAAACUGCUGGCCUCAAGUUAUCCUGUUGCCUUUGCCUGUGAAAACUUUGGGAUUAAAGAAUGGGAUCAAAUGGCUUAGAGGCAUCCCCCUAAGACCAGAUGAUCAGCGAGUGCCUGGAACAUGCCGAAGCCUUCUUGGACGAACGUUGGAUUUUUGGACUGGUGAAAUCAAGGAAGGCCAUGCGGAUUUUACUCUGUUAACCUGGGCUCCCAGGAAACAUACCAGUAGGUCUCAAUGGGCUCUGAAAUGUCCUUCCAUAGAGUCUACAAAAAGAGUGUUUCCAACUUGCUGAAUCAAAAUAAAGAUUUCACCUGGUGAGAUGAAUACACAGAUUGCAAAGCUUUUCACAAAGAUCUUCUUUCUAGUUUUUAUCUGGGGAUAUCAGGUUUUUCACAUUAGGCCUCAUUGGGCUUUGAAAUGGUCCCUCAGAGAUUCUACAAAAAGAGUGUUUUUAACACGCGGAUUCAAAAGAAUGGUUUAAUUCUAUGAGAUUAAUCCACACAUCAUACAGAAUUUUCACAGAUGUCUUCUUUCUGGUUUUUAACACAAAAUACUGUUUUUCAAUGUAGGCCUCAAUGGGCUCUGUAAUGUCCCUUUUUUUAGAUUCUAUAAAAAGAUUGUUUCCAACCUGCUAAGUGAAAAGAAAGGUUUAACUCUGUGAGAGGAAUCCACACAUCACAAAGUGUGUUCACAGAUAUCUUUUCUCAUUUUUAUCAUGGGAUAUUUGGUUUUUCACUAUAAGCCUCAAAAGGCUCUGGAAUGUCCCUUUGUACAUCUCCAAAAAGAGUGUUUCCAACCUGCUGAAUGAAAAGAAAGGUUUAACUUUCGGAGAUAAAUCCACACAUUGCAAAGAAUUUUCACAGAUAAUUUCUUUCUAGUUUUUAUCACAAGAUGUUUGGUUUUUCACUUUUGGCCUUCAUUUUGGGCUCCAAAAUGUCCUUUGGAAGAUUCUACAGAAAGACUGUUUUCAAAUGGCUGAAUUAAAACAAAAUUUUAACACUAUAAAAUUAUUCGACACAUUUCAAAGACUUUUCAUAGUUACAUUCUUUGUGGUUCUUGUCACAGGAUAUUCGAUUUUUCACCAUAGAUAUUGAUGGGAUCCAAAAUGUCUCUUCAUAAGUUUCAGAAAAAGAGGGUUUCCAACCUACUGAAUCAAAAGAAAGGUUUAAUUCUAUGAGAUCCACACAUCCACACAUUUACAGACAGCUUCUUCCUAGUUUUUAUCAUGUGAUAUUCAGUUUUUCACUAUAGGCCACAAUAAACUUCAAAAUGUCCUUUCAUAGAUUCUACAAAAAAGUGUUUCCAAGCUGCUGAAUCAAAAAGAAAAAAAAAAAAGGUUCAACGAGGUGAGAUGAAGCCACACAUCACAAAUUGUUUUCACUGACAGGUUUUUUAAAGUUUUUAUUGCAAGAUAUUCAGUUUUUCCCUACAGACCAAAACGGGCUCUGAAAAGUCCCUUUGUAGAUUCUACAAAAAGAGUGUUUUCAACCUCGUGAAUGAAAAGAAAGGUUUAAUUUUAUAAGAAUAAUCCACAUUUUGAAAAGCAUUUUCACAGAAAGCUUCUAUUUUUCAUAGUGGGAUAUUGGUUUUUUCACUAUAGGCCUCAAUGAACUAUGAAAUAUUUUUUUCAUAGAUUCUACAAAAGAGUGUUUCAACCUGCUGAAUAAAAAGAAAGGUUUAACUCUGUGAGAUGAAUCCAGAUAUCUCAAAGCAUUUUCACAGAUAGGUUCUUCCUAUUUGUUCACGCCCAAUAUUUUUUUUUUAUUAUAGGCAUCAAUGGGCUCUGAAGUGUCCCUUUGUGGAUUCUACAAAAAGAGUGUUUCCAACCUGUUUAAUCAAAAGAAAGAUUUAUCCUAGUGAGAUCAAUCCACACAUUGCAAAGCAUUUUCACACAUGGCUUCUUUCUAGUUUUUAUCAUGAGAUAUUUGGUUUUUCUCCAUAAGCCUCAAUGGUCUCCAACAUGUUCCUUCAUACAUUCUACAAAAAAAAAAAGUUUUCCAACCUUUUGAAUCAAAAGAAAGGUUUACCUCUGUAAGAUUAACCCACACAUCACAAAACAUUUUCACAGAUAGUUCUCUUUGUUUUUUAUUGUGAAAUAUUUUGUUUUUAACUAAAGGCCUAAGUGGGCUCCAAAAUGUCCCUUCAUAAAUUCUACAAAAAAAUGUUUUUCUAACCUGCCAAAUCAACAUAAAAGUUUAACCCUGUGAGAUGAAACCUCCCAUUGUGAAGCAUUUUCACAGGUAGUUUCUUUUAAGUUUUUGCUUUCAGAUAUUUAGUCUUUCCUAAUAUGCCUCAAUGUUCUCCAAAAUGUCCCUUCGCAUAUUCUAGAAAAAAAGUGUUUCCAACCUACUGAAUGAAAAAAAAAACUUGAUCCCUUGAGAUGAAUCCACACAUUUAGAAGCAUUUUCACAGAUAACUUCUUUCUAGUUCUUGUUGUGUAAUAUUUGGUUUUUCACUAUAAGCCUCAAUGGGCUCUGUAAUGUCCCUUCGCAAGUUCCAUAAAAAAAGUGUUUUCAAUUUGUUAAAUCAAAAGGAAGGUUUAACUUGAUGAGAUGAAUCCAAACCUCACAAAACCUUUUCACAGAUUCUUCCUUUCUAGUUUUUAUCAUGGGAUACUCAGUUUUUACUAUGGGCAUCAAAGGGGUCCAAAAAGACCCUUCAUAGAAUUUUAAAAAAGAGUAUUUCCAAACUGCUAAAUGAAAAGAAUUAUUUGCCUUUGUGAGAUGAAUCCACAUAUGGCAAAAUGUUUUCACAGAUGGCUUCUUUGUAUUUUUUAUCAGAGGAUGUUCAAUUUUUCACCAUAAACCUCAAUGUGCUCUGAAAUGUUCAUUUGUAUAUUGUACAAAAUAAUUGUUUCUAAUAUGCUGAUUAAAAAGUAAUGUUUAAACUGGUGACAUGAAUCCACACAUUGAAAAGAAUUUUCACAAAGAGUUCAUUUCUAGUUUUCAUUGCUCGUUAUUUGGGUUUUCA
rnacentral:lncRNA from 10 species